GUGCCUGAUGGAGGCUUAUGGCUACCCGGGGGUGGAGGGCAAUCUUUUCCUCCUGGAGUAGGAGGGUUUGUCCCCGGAGGAAGAAUAGGACCCACAAUCGGCAAUGGUGGCAGUGGCAAUGUGGGUAGCCCUCCCACCGGAGGUAUGGGUAGCCCUCCAACCGGAGGUAUGGGUAGCCCUCCCACCGGAGGAAGUGGUAGUUCUGGGACGGUCACGGGAGGUACAGGUAGCUUUGGGACGGUGACAGGUGGAACAGGUAGCUUAGGAACUGUCACCGGAGGAACUGGAAGCUUAGGUACGGUCACUGGAGGAACAGGUAGCUUUGGAACUGUCACCGGAGGAACUGGAAGCUUAGGGACAGUCACUGGAGGAACGGGUAGCUUGGGAACAGUUACAGGGGGUUUAAUGGAGGGUUUUCCACCCUUCCUGUGGUUGCAGGAGCCACAUGAGAAGGAUUGUUGGGGAAAGAAGAUAAUGCAAAUGAGAAUGAAACAGAGAGAAAG
rnacentral:lncRNA from 1 species